ensembl:lncRNA
CCUCCUCCCUGCCCUGCUGCACAGAGACACUGGUAAUAAUGACAACAACACACAGAGAAAGACUUUAUACUGUAAGGGAGAGAAAGAGAGAGAAAACCAACAUCCACAAGCCGAAAAUAAUGCAUACCGUUAAAUAUACCUGUUAUAACUCCAAGGGGAGCACCAUCUACCUAUCCACCACCAAAACUGACAGCCGAGCAAGCAACUUCUUUCUCUCCACCCCAUCGCUGGAUUGUUCCUUCCACUCUUGCUCAUCGUAUAAAACAACUUUUACCAGUAAAUAUCGGUUUAUUCCUGAAACCAGAAGCCCUAAACAUAUCUUUGUUUAUAAGAGUUUGGAAUGACCAGCCCGCAAAAGAGACCUGUUCUGAUAUGAGCCUGCCAUUACUUCUCAGACAAACUCUGAGCAGUCCCACUCCGAUAAAGCUGCCAGCAAUUGCAGAAAAGACCUCCCUGUUUUGGCAUUCUACAUAUGGAAUGACUACUUGGUUCCUUUUCAUCAUCUUCCCAUGAGAUGAUUUUCAUACUGCUGUUUUAUGUGUUUUAUUUAUUACCGUUUUAAUGUUUGUUGCAGUCUUUUUAACCAUUGCAAUGUGAACUAUCUUAAAAAAAUACUUCAGAUGGAAAAUUGCAUGCAUGUAUGUAUAUAUGCUUGAAUAAGAGGGAAAACAUUACUUUAACACAGGUAUAGAAAGAUCGGCUCAGGCAUCUCUCACUAGCUGCAUAAGCAAUAUCAUGAGCUAAUAAGCAGAUAUUGGCUUCCUAAAAUCAAAUCUUUGUUGCAGCAGGAGAUUUAGUAGCCCAGCUGAGUUCAAGAGGAAGCCUGCGAGAUGGAAUAUCUGAGAACAAUCCCUUACUCAAAAAGAAUUUAACCGUUUGCUUCCUAUAUACACCCAUAGUCACUUGCCAUUGAACUGGCUUGACCUAUUUAUGAAAAUAAAACCAGAAACUAAAAAAAUCUGAGUUUCUGUUUCAUAUUAAGAAAACAAAUUAAUGCCAACCAGAAUGCUUCUUGAACUCCCUGCUGGCCCAGAAGUGAAGAUUGUUCUGUUUCCUGAAAUUCAAGGGUAAAGACGAACAAUCAGCUGGAGAAGUAAAGAAGAUGCCAAUUGCUGGGAUGUCCCAAAGGUGCUUUUCCGGAGGUAACUGGACUUUCUCGUUUUUCUUUUGAAGAUGUUUUGCUUCUUCAGCUCUGACCGGAUAGUGGGGAAUGGAAGGACUAUCCUGUCAGAGCUGAAGAAGCUUCUUGGAUGAGAAGCAAAAUGUCUUCAAAAGAAAAACAAGGAAGCCCAGUUGCCUCCUGAAAAAGCACUUCUGGGACAACCCAUGACCCGGAUGACUGAGAAUCUCAGGUCAUGGGUUGUCCCAGAACCUGGAUGACUGAGAAUCUCUACAGACAAUUACUGGGAUGAAAGCAAUAACAAUGUUAGUCAACUCUGGAAGGAAAAGGACAUUUUUAAUGACAACACAGAUCAGAAGAAUUGAUCAUAAUAGAUCAUAAUCGUUUUCCUAUUAUAAGGUGAAAAGUAGAAAAAGAAGGUAAAACACUGACACUUAGGAAGAAGAAAAGCAAUUCCUUCAAAUUAUGCAUCUAACAAUUAUUACUAAGUACAGUACCGUGACUGCAAAAGAAGCAACCCGUC